rnacentral:lncRNA from 1 species
UGGCCAUGACCAUGACCACCGCUGGCAUGGGGCUCCGAUUGUUUCUCAGGUUUGGUCGAGUGGGCAGAAUGAGUGGUGUUGGGGGUUGAAUGGGAAGAGUGGUACUGGUGCAGGUAAUUCUCAGCCUUGUCAACAUACUUACCAACGCCCUUCUCCUGAUCCAGCUUGCCGUAGUGCGAGGCAGCACCAAACAGAUCAGCGGCUGCACCGGCAACCUUUCCCUUGUCAACCUUAUCGCUUUCAUGGUGCAGUGAGUUCUUCGCUGCCUCCGCCACCAACUUAGCACUAGAGAGGAGCUCAGAGGAAGAUUUUGGGGGGUGCUUCUCGUGGUGAGAGGUUGGUUUAUUGUG